rnacentral:rRNA from 1 species
UACAGAGGUCUCAAGCGUUGUUCGGAUUCAUUGGGCGUAAAGGGUGCGUAGGCGGCGCGGCAAGUCGGGUGUGAAAUUUCGGAGCUUAACUCCGAAACUGCAUUCGAUACUGCCGUGCUUGAGGACUGGAGAGGAGACUGGAAUUUACGGUGUAGCGGUGAAAUGCGUAGAUAUCGUAAGGAAGACCAGUGGCGAAGGCGGGUCUCUGGACAGUUCCUGACGCUGAGGCACGAAGGUCAGGGGAGCAAACGGG